GAGCCUCUAGAGCAGAGCGGGGGUGGAGACCCGUUCCUCCGGAGCUGGACGGUGGCUGGGAAGGGGCAGUCCGUAUGAGGGCAGCCUUGGCCUACGGGGUGCGUCGGCUGGACCCAGGCGGACAGGACCUUGGGAGGGAGGGGAGGAGCCCUGUAGGUUCAGCGGAGAGCUACGAGUUUGCUUAGCUCGCAGGACGUCAGAGCUGGUGACGUCCGAUGCAAGGUUCCCCUCUUCCAGGAUGAGUGCCAGUUGAUGUGUAUCAGAUGCCUGUUGGUGAGAUUUGAGGCAGACCCCAGACCUUAACACCCCUCUGGCUGAGUCCCCUCACAUGGUAGCAGGGCCUACGCCACAGCCACAGCAAUGCGGGAUCCGAGCCAUGUCUGCGACCUACGCCA